AUCCUCUGGCUCAUGAGCGUGGUGACUGGGUGUGCAUGCCUUAUGCAUGAGAUGCGCCUCCCUCAAACCUUGUUACAACGUGGGCACAUUACCCGUCUGACG